rnacentral:rRNA from 1 species
UACGAAGGGGGGCUAGCGUUGCUCGGAAUCACUGGGCGUAAAGCGCACGUAGGCGGCUUUCUAAGUCAGGGGGUGAAAUCCUGGAGCUCAACUCCAGAACUGCCUUUGAUACUGGAGAGCUUGAGUCCGGAAGAGGUGAGUGGAACUCCGAGUGUAGAGGUGAAAUUCGUAGAUAUUCGGAAGAACACCAGUGGCGAAGGCGGCUCACUGGUCCGGUACUGACGCUGAUGUGCGAAAAGCGUGGGGGAGCAAACAAG